CAUUCACGGAGAGUUUGAUCCUGGCUCAGGACGAACGCUGGCGGCGUGCUUAACACAUGCAAGUCGAACGAUGAACCACUUCGGUGGGGAUUAGUGGCGAACGGGUGAGUAACACGUGGGCAAUCUGCCCUUCACUCUGGGACAAGCCCUGGAAACGGGGUCUAAUACCGGAUACGAGCUUCCUCCGCAUGGUGGAAGUUGGAAAGCUCCGGCGGUGAAGGAUGAGCCCGCGGCCUAUCAGCUUGUUGGUGAGGUAACGGCUCACCAAGGCGACGACGGGUAGCCGGCCUGAGAGGGCGACCGGCCACACUGGGACUGAGACACGGCCCAGACUCCUACGGGAGGCAGCAGUGGGGAAUAU
rnacentral:rRNA from 1 species